GCACAGCUACAGCUACCAUUUCCCUGGCUUCCCAGCGACAGCGUAUGGACCGGUGGCGGCGGCGGCGGUAGCAGCAGCGCGUGGCUCAGGUAGGGGGGCCCGUGGAAGAGGCGGCUACUUGGCGUACCCACAGAGCACAGGGCCAGGCCUCCCCGAUUAUGGGUUUUACUCUACGCCCAGUGACCAGAGGGGGGGGCCCUGCUCCUUUGCUGACUAUGGCUCCCUGGGGCCCCAAGCGGCUCAGAUGCUGCACAGUGAGCAUGCCACCUCCGCCUGCAACUCCCCCCUCCAGCACCUACACAGCCCGGAUCAGUUUAAGAACCCAGGCGCCAACCCGUCCCGGCCCGGAGGUUUCCCCGGUCCCAACAGCCCAGGGCCCGUGGCCGACCUGUACGGGAACAGCCAGGACUCCUCUGUGGGGAACUACAUCAGCGCCGCCAGCCCCCAGCCCGGCUCCGGGUUCGGCCCCAGCAUCACAGGCCCGUUGAUUGCGACAGCUUUUACAAAUGGAUACCAUUGAACAGGUGGCCGGUUGCCAUCUCAUCAGAGCAGAGUAUAUCUGGUGGCCCGGGAAAGACAGGACGGAGUUUCUAAUUGGCUUUGUGUGCAGGUGAUGCUAACCAACUUCGAGCACUACAGCGUCACCCUGGCAAAAAGAAUGAAGGUGUGAACCUUAUGAAGAAGAAAAGAAAAACGUUAGUCAUCUCAGAAAAAUAACAACUGCUGUACUAUAAUCCAAACCUCCUAUAACUUUACAACCUGGUUUGGUAUGAUGUGUCACGUGGAUUUCAUUCACCAAUUCCCUCCCUCUGUUAGCGCUUUGUUUUCCUUAGUUUUUAGAGAGUCAUUUUUAACCUUAAUUUUGUGUCAUUUUAUUUAAUCUUAUAGUAUAUUUGUGUAAAAGGGGUUUUGUUUGAAGUAAAGGGGUCAUAGCCAAGUGUGAAGGGGAAAGGUUGUUGAAAUCAGUCUUUCCGAAUAAAAAAGAAGCUCAGUGUGAAGAGAGAAAAAAAAUUCAAUUUUAAGGAACAUUUUAAGAGGGUAUCUAAGUAAUAAAUCUCAGUAGCUGUUUUAUUUCUUGUGAUGUCUCAUUGUUAACCAUAAUUACCUAUUUUUGGGCAAUACAAAGAGGACUCCAAUAUUUUUAUGGUCCUUUUUUAUAAGUGUUGUUUUUGUUGUUUAGAAAUAUAUAUAUAUAUAUAUAUGCUAUAACAAAUUUCAUAUAACUACAUUGUGAAUUCAAACUUGAGAAAAAGAAAUGUAGCUGUACAUAUUAUUCCAGUCACUGCAUAUAACCAACUCAGUGAGAGAAUAGCAUAUUUUUGUGAUGGUGUGUCAAAAGAAACAUGUUAUAGCGUGUGAAUAGAAGAAAAAAGCUGUAAACAGUUAUUAUUAUUAUACUUUUUUUCUUCUGCUGGAAGACGGUAUAAAAGACCCCGGAGAUGAACAGAACACGCUUGCUCUGUAAAUACUGAAUCAUUUUACAAGUGUCAUACCAGCAAAUUCACAAACGGCGAGCUGUAAGUCAACACAGUUGUAAGAAAUAAAAAAAAGAGCCUGAUUGGUAUCUCACUGCUCAGAUAUCAGUAUCAUUUCAAAGAGAGAGACAGAAAAGAAUCCAAAGCACACUGUACUUAGAUGUGAAGAUUAGAACUUGAACAGGCAUUGGACAGUGCUCUGUGCAUCCUGACACUUUUAUACUCUUGAGAGGAACUUGUUCGUUGUUUCUAUUGUUUGUUUCAUCCUGCUUGUUCCUGAUUUUUUUAUUUUUUUUAGGAACACAAUACCUUGAGCUCUGUGCUGAGAGCCUCUAUGUGCCGCUUGUUCUCUGAACCGGUUCUUUUAUGAGCGAAUUAGGAAAGUAAACAUUUUGAUACCAUACCUCAGCCUUUGUGAGUUCAAUCGUGGAAUCAUUGGCAGGUUUAAGUUAUUCUAGUGGCAAAAUAAAACACUGAAAGGUAAUAAAGCGAGAAAUCGAUGCACUGUGAGUAGUAAGAGUACAGGCCAGUUUCCUAUUUGCACAUGUAUAUGUCGGCUUUUUAAAAGAGAACGGCCUUGUGCUUUGGGAUAGUAUGAAGGAUUUCUUGGGUUAAUGUGCUAGACUAACACUUCAGAGUUUUGAGGUGAGGAAACAGCUUGGGAAGUAGAUUUGUUGCAGUGGAUCUCUUUGUAUAUUAGACCCAUCUAAAGAUAUUUAUACAGGGUUAAAAAAUGACACUGAAUUAUUCGCACUGCACCAGGUUUUACACAGUAUGUGUGCUUAAUGAUUUUACUUAUGACAAACAUUUAAUAAUUAUAUAAAUAUCUGGUUUUCCAAAUCAUUAAUGAAACGAAUGGUGUGAAAUACUUGACCUGCUGCAGGUGUAUUUUUGUCCUUUUUCAUUUUACCCACUUCUUUGUCUUUUAUUUGAAAACAACCAGGUAAAGAAAUAUGCUGGAUACUUCUAAAGUUAAUGAUACGGAGGUGUGAUCAAGUCAUAAUUUAACGGAGAAAAAAAAAAACCUUGUAAUGUUCAAAUGUAAAAGAAAAUACGAAACUAUAAAAAAAAGAAAGAUGCUUCUUUGCUGAUUUCAAGUUUAAUCAGAGUUUUAUUGAUACUUUGUGGUUUAUAUAUGAAUAAUUGUAAUAUACUAUUAAAAUGUACUGUGCAUCCAUUGCUUUCUCUCUUUCCAUUCCCCAUCCUUCAGAGAUCCUACUUCUUUUGUUGAUCAUUCAUGUAAUUCAUUAGUGUGUAAAGAAACCACAGUUACCUUGUAAACAGAGUGCUGUCUUUGAUACCAGUGUAGUGGUCUUUGUUGUUCUCCCUUUGCUCUACCUCUCCUUUCUCUCAUAUUUAUCCCUCUCCCUAUCGCGCUCUUUUUCUAUCUCCUGUAAUUACAAAGUAGAUGUUGUAUAGGACUCAUUAAUAUAAUACUCGUAGUGAAUAGUGGAUUUAGGACCAGUCAAGAUAGACCUUUCUCUAAAUGAUCAUGUUAUUCUGAUAUUUGCAGACUAUUCUUUUUGAUAGAGGUUCAUUGUAAUUUGAUUCCCUGUAUCUUUUUUGUUGUUGCUUUUUGCCACUCUCACAUGGUUUCAGCUAACCAAAGCUCUCAUGGAUGAACAAUAGAGAAACAGUUGCUGUAAGAUGGAGUUGUACACGAGGCAUUAUUUGGAUCCCCACCCUUGAAUGUUUUAAAAGGGGUGUGCCAUACUACCUUAAAUGCUAACGCUAGAUAUGCAAAACUGUUGUUUUUUUCUUUGUUUUUAAGAGGGACACAAGCUAUUAUCAAGAUUUUAUGUAAAAGAAAAAGCAUAUAUUUAAAAAAAAAAAAAGACAUACUAAUGACUCAUCGUGCUGUUUAAAUGACCUGUUAUAUAUUUUACUGUUCACACUGAUCCCAGAUGGCCCUGUCUCUUAAUUCUCUCAAAGACUUUAAUAAUAACUCAAUAAUUUUAACCGUAGAUUCUUGGAGCUAGAUUUAGUUUGAAUGCGUUAUCAAUGAUCCAACAUAUUGAUAUUAUAGAGGCAUUGCUAUAAAAAUGUCAUACUGUGAAAGACUCCAUUAAACAGAUAUUAUUCUGCAGCUGUAACAGGAUUAGUGUGUAUCACUCUUAAGGCGGAUUAAUAGAUGGUUCAUAUUUCAGAAGAUAAUAAAUUAAAAUGUUAAUCUCUAUGCUGAAAAUUCCCUCCAAAUACUCAAAGGAUGUCCAGAAUUCACAGAUUUCCACAAGCCGAAUUUCUACAAAAAAACGAGCUAUUAUAAAGCCUCACGCUGUGUGCGUUAUUAUUUCUAUUAGUAUAAUUUCAAUUAAACAUCAUUUAGGUUUAAUGACCAUUUUAUUUUUUAUUUCACCUCAUGGGGUCUUAAAAUUGAGUACUGUUACAAUAAUUAAUAACAUUAGUGUUUAUUCAUUUCUCUCACCCAGUAGACUGUCAAAUUACAUUUGUAUGUUCAGUAAUGGCAGCUCUGUUAGUGCCAUUAUUAUUCCAAUGAAUUCAGCACGUAUACAGGACAUUGUGUAGAAAUAGAGAGAUUAUGCCCAAAACAAAUGUUAAAAAGUCUAAUUAUAUUUAAAAUAUAUCAAUUUCAGAUAUUGUAUUGUAAAAGUAAUUGAUCACAUCUGACAAUACAGUAAAAAAAUAAAGCGUAAAAAAUAAUGUAAUAACAUUCGGAGUAUUCAAUCUAGUUUUCACCUCAUUUGCACAUUUAUAUUUUCAAACAUAUCUCAACUGUAGAAAAACAAUUAACAUGUUAGAAUCUAUCAUUCAUGUGCACUAGUUAAGUUUUAUAGAAAAGACAAAAGAAAGUGUUCCUCUUCGUUUGCAGCAAUGUCCCUGUUUAUAAGUAUUUGAUCAAAUAAUAAACUCUAACUCAUACCACCUACAAGGAGCUCAUUAGGAGCUGCUGUUGGUUCCAAUUGUGCUGCCAUUUCAUCUGGAAAUACACAGAUACUUUAGUUGUUCUCACUGUUCCAGCCCCUAAGACAGUAAAACCCUUUCUGACUUGAAAUGGCAGGUUUUCCCCUCACACAAGCUCCUAUUGUUUUGUGAUCCUGUAGCGUGGACUUUAAGGUAGCAUGGCUCUGUUGCUCUAAUUUCAUUUGAAUCUCAAACUGACAGCAGUUUACAGCUGAUGAAUGUUACACAUCUUAGUAGGCUAGCUUAUACAUUUGGGGAGAGGGGAGGGGUCUUGGUUUAAGAAAAAAAAAGAAAUCAAAAAAAGAAAAAAAGUCAACCUGGAAGGAGUUGACAUUUGUAGUGUACUACCGUAUCCAUUUAAACUUGAAUCUUGAGGCAAGUGCUAGGCAAUGGCCAAACUAUUGAUCCCAUCCGCCGGGGGGGGAAAAGCCCACCCUGAAAACCACACAAAACACGUUUGAGAUUUCUGUCGGAUUUGAAUCUGCUUCAUGGAUAAGAAGCUUGGACAUCAGACUGUUUCAGGCUCGGCUCUAUUUCCAAUUAAUUACUUUAAAGCCUCAUUGAACGAUCUUGAGCAUGUAGACCCAAAAAGGCUUAUUCACAGUGGUGCUGAUGGUUCAAACCAAACAGUGUGCCCUUAUCUCUGAUAGAUACUGUCACAUUGACUCUCUCUUGUUCCAAAACAUAAAAACCUUCACAAACUUCAAGGUGACAGAAAUAUCACAAGUUUGACUUUACUGUUGUGUUUCAGGGUGAAUUUCCCUUUCAGUUCAAACCAUUGCCAUCUCACGCUCAUCGCUAAAUAUAUACAAACAAUUGCAAUAUAUAAGUGUAUAGAUGAGUAUAUAUUUGCAAUUCUCAUGCAUUUGACCUUGUCUGAAGAAUAUUAGACUGGAGACCUCAGCUGUAUACAGAAUACUCGUUACACAGCUACACCCGGGCUCAUGUAGGCAUUAUUAGCUUCUGUUCACCGACACGAGAGUUCACCCGUGGCGUGUUGACGAGUUUGGAGCCGACCGCAUGGCCUAGAGGGGAGCCUGGAAGCUCUUCAGACUGCAUGGACGGCAGUGUGAGGCUCUGCUGUGCUUCCAUGUUUGUGCAGGCUGAGCACAGAGCUCUCUUCACUGCUGUCUGCCCAUUCCUAACACUUGCCCCUUUUUUUAUGUUAACCAACUUUUUAUGGCGAGAGACAGACAGACUUGACUGACAUCUGAAAGCAUCUUUCAGGUUAUAUGGCUUGCUUAAGCCCUGUUGUAAAAUAUACUUUAAAAAAAAAAUAAUAAUAAUAAUAAUAAUGGAUGGGGGUCUCUCACAUAUCAAAUGUGGAAAGUCUAAUUUUAUAUUUGUAUUUUCAAAUAAUAAUAUUGACAAAAAAUGUCUGUGAAAGGUUUCCAUCCUCUACUGUGGUCCAGAAAUUGAUGUGUCUGUCUGGAAAAUAAAUAAAAAUAAACUGAAUUGUUAUAUGA